CCCGGCGAGGGGAGUGAAAAAGAACCUGAAACCGUGUACGUACAAGCAGUGGGAGCACCUUCGGGUGUGACUGCGUACCUUUUGUAUAAUGGGUCAGCGACUUAUAUUCUGUAGCAAGGUUAACCGUAUAGGGGAGCCGCAGGGAAACCGAGUCUUAACUGGGCGUUAAGUUGCAGGGUAUAGACCCGAAACCCGGUGAUCUAGCCAUGGGCAGGUUGAAGGUUGGGUAACACUAACUGGAGGACCGAACCGACUAAUGUUGAAAAAUUAGCGGAUGACUUGUGGCUGGGGGUGAAAGGCCAAUCAAACCGGGAGAUAGCUGGUUCUCCCCGAAAGCU
rnacentral:rRNA from 1 species